CAGGUAGGACUACCCGCUGAACUUAAGCAUAUCAAUAAGCGGAGGAAAAGAAACUAACAAGGAUUCCCCUAGUAACUGCGAGUGAAGCGGGAAAAGCUCAAAUUUAAAAUCUGGCGGUCUUUGGCCGUCCGAGUUGUAAUCUAGAGAAGUGCUAUCCGCGUUGGACC
rnacentral:rRNA from 1 species